GGGUUCACCCAUUGGUCAGGCUUAAUUGUCUGUACUGGUGAGAUGAGUCUCUACCUUCUGAGGAACUUUCAUGCCAUUUAUUUGGUGUGGUUGGAAAUCAGGACUGUUACUUUGAAAAAAUUAGAGUGUUUAAAGCAGGCUCGCGCUUGAAUACAUUAGCAUGGAAUAAUGAAAUAGGAC
rnacentral:rRNA from 1 species